CAAGCAUGAAUGCUGCUAUUUUCCGUUUCUUUUUUUACUUUAGCACCUGAUGUCAGGGGCUUUUGCGCAGCAGAAAAGAAACGAAAAAUCGCGCUAAAAGCCUCCCUGGUGGAGGCUUUUUUCGU
rfam:Tatumella ptyseos ATCC 33301 GTPT.assembly.037, whole genome shotgun sequence.